rnacentral:misc_RNA from 1 species
ACAAUGUUCUGAAUGUUGACGUGCAAACAGAAAUACAGUGAGAUAUAAAACAUACAAAUAUGUUGUGCAGUCUUGCUUGUGUCUGAAGGAUCACAUAACAUGAAGUGAGGAUGAAUUCACCGGUCAUGUUCAGGAGGUAUGUGGAUAUUAGCAUAAGCUUUCUCUGCAUUUCCAAUGUUUAUGCCACAAAACAUUGUCACUCUUUUUCUCAACAUGUAUGGGAACAUAUGAAGGCUUUUUGUACCAAGAUUGCUUGUGUUGAUGAAACUAUACUGAAAUUUGGUAAAGUUGAUUUUAAGGAAGAGGAAAUCAUUUUCUUUAGUCCAUGUGUAAUGCUAGAUUAGGAAG